GAUGAACGCCAGCGGGAGGCCUAACACAUGCAAGCCGAGCGGGAUUUGUUGGUUAGCUUGCUAACUAACAAUGAGAGCGGCGUACGGGUGCGUAGCACGUGUGCAACCUGCCUUUAUCUGGGGGAUAGCCUUUCGAAAGGAAGAUUAAUACCCCAUAACAUAUUGAUUGGCAUCAGUUAAUAUUGAAAGCUCCGGCGGAUAGAGAUGGGCACGCGUAAGAUUAGCUAGUUGGUGAGGUAACGGCUCACCAAGGCUGCGAUCUUUAGGGGGCCUGAGAGGGUGAUCCCCCACACUGGUACUGAGACACGGACCAGACUCCUACGGGAGGCAGCAGUGAGGAAUAUUGGACAAUGGGUGAGAGCCUGAUCCAGCCAUCCCGCGUGAAGGACUAAGGACCUAUGGUUUGUAAACUUCUUUUAUACAGGGAUAAACCUACUCUCGUGAGGGUAGCUGAAGGUACUGUAUGAAUAAGCACCGGCUAACUCCGUG
rnacentral:rRNA from 1 species